rnacentral:lncRNA from 1 species
AUGAGAGAGGAACAGAGCAGUGGGCAGCCACAGAAAUGCAUCCUUGAAACUGUCACGAAAUGGGGACCCAGCCACUCAUGCCAGCCAGUUCUCUGCCUGGAGGAGGGAUGCAUCAGCUUAUCUGCAAUCGCCAUAUGCCAGCUGCUGGUAGCUCCAGUUUGGGAACCAGAGACACACACACCCCAAACCCAGAAGGCAAAGGAACAGGUCGGGACAGAGUGCACCCAACUCAAGAAUGUGGAAGGUGGAUGGGGAAAAAUCCUACUUAUAAGCCAAAGCAUGGGGGUUUGGUGGGAGGUUAGUUGUUUUUCAAAAACUUCUUCAGGCUUGUUUUUGUUUUGUUUUGUUAUUCCUACUCAGUUUGCAGCAAAUUCCAGACUAGUGCAAAGCAGCUAGAUCAACACUCCCUAGAGACUAAAGUACUAGUUUGUCCAAAACACAGAAACAAUGAGUGGUUAUGGAGUGUUUCAUCUUCAAAGACAUCACUAAUGAGCCAGGCGUGGCACUCCUGGUAGGUUCCCCAGAUGAGCCCUGCCCCUGACCCACAGGGCUCACACCCCAGGGAGAAGGCAUGGCUCCCUCCACCUUGGGGCUCCAACCUCUGUCAAGCUGUCCACUAGCCCGGCUCCCUGCCUUUUCAGCCUCAACCCAGCCGGGCUGAGGUAUGGGGAGGGGUGACCCCUGCCCCUGACCCACAGGGCUCACACCCCAGGGAGAAGGCAUGGCUCCCUCCACCUUGGGGCUCCAACCUCUGUCAAGCUGUCCACUAGCCCGGCUCCCUGCCUUUUCAGCCUCAACCCAGCCGGGCUGAGGUAUGGGGAGGGGUGACGGGGGAGGGGGGCCACAGGACAAGACACCUGUCCAGCCAAAAGGUCAAACUGCACCCAUGCUAGUAACUAACAGUCAGACUUCUGGUUCUGCCACCAACACCUUCACAGAAAUGUCCACCUUCCCCAAGUCCUCCUAGUUUCUGUCCUGCCUCCUGCUCAAGUGGUCUUUCCUUCAUCCUCAAGUGAUUCUUUGCUUUAAAGGUCUGGUAUCAGGGACUAGCCCUGAUUCUGAACUGGAUUUAUACUACACAUCCAUCUUGCUGUCCUGUUAUUGGAACUACUUCGAUUAAAUGAAUACCAAUAAGCCAGGUAUACAUCUGUUAUCCUAGCAUUCUGGGAGGCUAAGGCAGAUGGAUCCCAACUUUGAGCCCAGCCCAUGAGUUACUUGGUGACUUAGCAAGACCCUGUCUCCAGGAAAAAGGCUGGGUGUGGUGGCACAUGCCUGUAAUCUCAGCACUCAGGAGGCUGAGGUAGGAGGACCACUGCAAGUUUAGGGUGAGUUCAAGACCAGCCUAAACUCCAUAGUGAGACCUUGUCUCAAAAGAAAAACCCUUUUUUUUAAAAAGGGCUGGGGAUAUAGCUCAGUACAAAGGCCCCCCGAUAGGGCAAAAAAAAGAAAAAGAAAAAGAGAAAGAAAGAACCGACCAACCAAUGGAAAUAUAGGAAUGGCUGAAAGAAGCAUGAGCAACCAACACCCCUUGCCCAGAACACGUUAACACUAUCCUUUCAUUUGCUUCUCUAAGCCAUCCU